rnacentral:rRNA from 1 species
GGAUUAGGCAUGCAAGUCGAACGCGAAAGGGUCCUUCGGGGCCUGAGUAGAGUGGCAAACGGGUGAGUAACGCGUGGGAAACCUGCCCUUGUGUUGGGGAUAACACUUCCAACGAGGUGCUAAUACCGAAUGUGAUUGUUGGAUCGCAUGUUCCGACAAUGAAAGGCGGCCUCUGCUUGCAAGCUGUCACACAAGGAUGGUCCCGCGUCCCAUUAGCUAGUUGGUGAGGUAAUGGCCCACCAAGGCAUUGAUGGGUAGCCGGCCUUAGCGGGUGUCCGGCCACACUGGGACUGAGAUACGGCCCAGACUCCUACGGGAGGCAGCAGUCGAGAGGCUUCUACAAUGGGGGAAACCCUGAUAGAGCGACGCCGCGUGGGUGAUGAAGGUCUUCGGAUCGUAAAGCCCUUUCAGCAGGGAAGAAUGGAUAGGUGCUAAUACCAUCACAUCCUAGACGGUACCUGCAGAAGAAGCUCCGGCUAACUCCGUGCCAGCAGCCGCGGUAAUA